rnacentral:rRNA from 1 species
UACGGAGGGGGCUAGCGUUGUUCGGAAUUAUUGGGCGUAAAGGGCGCGUAGGCGGCCUACCAAGUCAGACGUGAAAUCCCCCGGCUUAACCUGGGAACUGCGUCUGAUACUGGAAGGCUUGAGGAUGGGAGAGGGAUGUAGAAUUCCAGGUGUAGCGGUGAAAUGCGUAGAUAUCUGGAGGAAUACCGGUGGCGAAGGCGGCAUCCUGGACCAUUACUGACGCUGAGGCGCGAAAGCUAGGGGAGCAAACGGG